UACGUAGGUGGCAAGCGUUGUCCGGAUUUACUGGGCGUAAAGAGCGCGCAGGCGGUCGUUCAAGUCGCGUGUGAAAGCCCCCCGGCUCAACUGGGGAGGGUCACGCGAUACUGAUCGACUCGAAGGCAGGAGAGGGAAGUGGAAUUCCCGGUGUAGUGGUGAAAUGCGUAGAUAUCGGGAGGAACACCAGUGGCGAAGGCGACUUCCUGGCCUGUUCUUGACGCUGAGGCG
rnacentral:rRNA from 1 species